rnacentral:rRNA from 1 species
UACGUAGGCAGCGAGCGUUGUUCGGAAUUACUGGGCGUAAAGAGUGUGUAGGCGGUGCUCCAAGUCUGUCGUGAAAUCUCCCGGCUCAACUGGGAGGGUGCGCCGGAAACUGGAGGGCUUGAGUAUGGGAGAGGAAAGCGGAAUUCCUGGUGUAGCGGUGAAAUGCGUAGAUAUCAGGAGGAACACCUGUGGUGUAGACAGCUUACUGGACCACUUCUGACGCUGAGGCACGAAAGCGUGGGUAGCAAACAGG